GGAGUUAGCCGGUGCUUCUUCUGUGAGUGAUGUCCUUCCUGCCGGCUAUUAACCCGCAGGCCUUCUUCCUCACUGAAAGUGCUUUACAACCCGAAGGCCUUCUUCACACACGCGGCAUGGCUGGAUCAGGGUUGCCCCCAUUGUCCAAUAUUCCCCACUGCUGCCUCCCGUAGGAGUCUGGGCCGUGUCUCAGUCCCAGUGUGGCUGAUCAUCCUCUCAGACCAGCUACGGAUCGUCGCCUUGGUGAGCCGUUACCUCACCAACCAGCUAAUCCGACAUAGGCUCAUCCGAUAGCGCGAGGCCCGAAGGUCCCCCGNUUUCCCCCGUAGGGCGUAUGCGGUAUUAGCCUGGGUUUCCCCCAGGUUAUCCCCCACUACCCGGGCAGAUUCCUAUGCAUUACUCACCCGUCCGCCGCUCGCCACCAGGGAGCAAGCUCCCCGUGCUGCCGCUCGACUUGCAUGUGUAGCUGCCGCCAGCGUCAUCUGAGCCAGAAGUACGAACCUACGACGUACGAGACGGGCGGUCGGUCGACGGACGGCG
rnacentral:rRNA from 1 species